rnacentral:rRNA from 1 species
UACGUAGGUGGCAAGCGUUAUCCGGAAUUACUGGGCGUAAAGGGUCCGUCGGUGGGCGCGCAAGUCUGGUGUAACAGCCCCUGGCUUAACUGGGGGUAGCCACUGGAAACUACGCGUCUUGAGUCACGGAGAGGGGUGCGGAAUUCCGGGUGUAGUGGUGGAAUGCGUAGAGAUCCGGAGGAACACCAAAGGCGCAAGCAGCACCCUGGUCGAGGACUGACACUUCAGGACGAAAGUAUGGGGAGCAAACAGG